rnacentral:lncRNA from 1 species
GGGUAGUCGUAGUCCUAAUCAUUGAAUUUGCUAAUCGGGAGGUUGUUAGAUACGACCUGGACAGUCGUAUAACGCUGGUGAUCAGGGUACUCUCCUGUAGGAUGUAAUUAGAUCCGGAUCGCCGCAAUUCUCGGUUAUGAAUGCACUUGAUCACUGUUGAGCAUCGUAGUAUCAAUUCAUGCAAUCUGUAUUCUCCUGUUAUCAAGUAAUGUAUGAUUUAACAGCUAUGGUUGCUUUUACUUCUGUUAUCAUUUAGAAUGGUUAGGUAAUGACUUAACCCAAAUAAAAGGUAAAACUAAGGCAUUACUCAUAGUAAGCUUUUCGGCAAAAAUCGUGUUAGCCAAGCACACUCAAAAGCUAGCAUGCAUUCCAAAGAAAACUAUUAUAUUGGUUAGUCAGGUAAGACUUGCUGAGUACCCCA